GCCGGGCGUGGUGGCGGGCGCCUGUAAUCCCAGAUACUCGGGAGGCUGAGGCAGGAGAAUUGCUUGAACUCAGGAGGCGGAGGUUGCAGUGAGCCAAGAUUGCGCCACUGCACUCCAGCCUGGGCGACAGAGUGAGACUCUGUCUCAA
rnacentral:SRP_RNA from 1 species